UAACUGCAAAUCUAGUGUUUGCCAAAUUAACGGUAAUCAUUAUUGUCUUUCUCGAUUUUAUUAUGGUUUAGCCAGAGUUUGUUAUUAUAAAAUUGGUUAUAUUCUCAUUGGCAUAAUUUUUCUCUAUAAUCAAUAUUCAUGUGUCAAAGCUUUUAAUGAAACUGGCAUAAUAGCAAAUACGUAAUAAGAAAAUUCAAUUUCUAUGUCUGUUAUUGUUGUCGAAUGGAAAUUAUAGCAAUUAAUUAUCUUUGAAGUGUAGUUUUUAUACCACUAUUCUAUAAUCAGUAUCAGAGGUGUUCCGGUCGCACUCCUUAAAAAUAUAAACAGUUUUAUGAACUAUGUUAUUGGAGACUAAUUGCAAAUAUAAUAAUUAAAAUGAUGCACGGUCAAUUCACAAACGUUCUAUGGUACUUGGAAUUCUUUGCUUUUGUGGGAGCCUUAUCAGCUUUUUUCUGUUUCAUAUUUUAUUUGGCAAAAAUUAAUUACGUGACAUAUAAUAUCCAGUACGAUAUGCGGCAAAAGUACAUGGCCGAUGAUACCUGGUUGAUUCAAAGUUAGUACAAUGCUGAGCCCGGAAACGAAAGUUAACAUUUUACUACAUCAAAAGCUGUCAGCGAGACCCAAAAUUAAGAUAAAGGAACCUCCCCAGAGACCAGUAUGCUGUGACCUUGGCUGCAUUUGGUUCUGUCGUCUGAUGGGCAGCAUUAUAACUAUAGCCUUAUGUUAUUACUUCGCUUACACGUUCAUAUCUGACACUAAACUGAAGUUCGGUUUGUUUGUACCCUAAAUUCCAGUAAAUAGUUACAUAUUAAAUGCUAACAUAAAUAAUA